CCCUUGUACAGGGCUUUGCGCUUGCGCGACUCCGCUGUGCUUGGCUUGGGGCGGCCGCUGUGGUCCAAGGGGUCCCUGGGCAGCAUCUGCCGGUUGCCAACCAUGCAGUUGGGGGAGGCUUGGCCUCCACUCAGGUCAGCAGUAAAGCAAAGGACUCCUUGAGGAGCAAUAGGCCUUCACGAUACACAUGGAAGUGCCAGCCACCUGGGACUCCUCGAACACGUGGCCCUCCUUCCUGUUGAAGACACUGUAGAGGCCGCCAGCCAGUUCCUCCAGCCGCUGAAGCUCCGCCGGGUGGAUAGGCUGGUGCCGGCUGUCCGUGUGCUGCAGCAAAGACGGUGCCACCGGUGGGGUGGUCGGGAUGGUGUCCUUGUACAGAGCCACAUCGUAGAAGUCAAAGCCCACGCCUCGCACGUUCUCCUGGCAUGGCAGCCCCACUGGCAUCCAGCCACCGUGGUCUCCUUUUCUUUGCCAAGAGAAUAGAAAAUGAAGAAACAUUCUUCCAAUCCAGUUGUGAAGUUAUAAAUACCCUGCUAACAAAACUGGACUAAAAAAAAGUGUAAUAAAGAACUAAAACAAAAGGUGGAGCGAUGGAAGGAAGAAGGCAGCCUGAAUAUGCACCUUGGAACCAGAGGAACAAUGAGCUCACAAACAGCCAUCUGGAAUAAGCCUGAUUGAUCAUAUUGAGAGAGUUUAGUGGAGGAGAGUGCCACCCUCUGCUUGGUUUCAGCAAUAACAAAUCCAACGGGAUGCUACAGGGAAGUAUUGUUAUAUUGUGUUCCAGCUAUGUCAACACUGGGUUGUUUGAUAACAACCAAUAUUAAGAGAUAUAAAGGGGUAUAAAAGCAGUGGGUAGAUUCACAUUCUGGGUAUAAUUUUCUUAUAAAAUAUUAAUUCCUUUUUAAAUGGUCAGGCAGAGAAAAACUUAAAGUUCAACAAAAGUAAUUACAGUAUAUUAAUUUACUUACUGUAAAUCGUGGCUAGAAAUUAUUUUUAAGCUGGUAUUUUUAAUAGAGUAACUGUUAAUUAUUCAUAAUACAUAGGUAUCUGAUUUGGACUAUCUUGUCAUGUCAUUAAAUUAAUCAUGAAUAUGUAUUUGUGAAGCAUUUUCAUAUCAAAUGAUUUACAGAUGCUUCUGCAAAUGCCUGUAAUGGAGUCUUUCACUAACAUUGCUGAGCUAAAUGCAUUUUCAAGAAAGAAAUCUUUAAAAUAACAUAGGAUGUAAGCAAAAUAAACCAAAUUUUAACAUGGAAACUUAUUUAAUAAGGAUUAUGAGAAAAAUAUUCAUGAAGCACAAAAUGAAAAGACUAUUAUUCAAAUAAAACAGAAACAGCUUCUAUUUCUGUAUACAGACAAAUGCCAUGAAAGGAAAAACAAAACAUUUGAAAGGGAAAUAAAACAGCUUCAGGUUUUCCCUCUUAUAUUUCCCUCAAUAUAAACAAUAGUAUAACUUCUAGAAAGUUAGGAGAGUUAUUACUAUUUAAUGCAACCAAUAGUCACAUCUAUUAAUAGAAUGGAAAUAGGAAUUGGGUAGUUGGAAAUCACACACACAGUGUUACAAAUUUCAGUUAAUUUAAUACUAUUUGAGAAAUGGACAGAAUAAAUAAUUAGAAUCUGUACUAAACUAACUCUCUCUAAUUUAAAGCAUUUAAAUUAUAUUCAUUGUAAAUCAAUUUAUUUCCAGGAGCCAAAAAUAAAGGAGAGGAUAAAAUAGAGAUAACAUCUUUCAGAAAAUGUAACAAAAUCCCCAAAAUGUGUAAGCUCUAUACCUUUAUUUCCUUCAUUCCUCAGUCAAGUAUUUAUCGAGAACCUAUUCUAUGAAUAAUUACAAGAUGAGAUAUCUUGUUAAAUCCUGCUCAGUGCAAUCAUACAGUGCACCACGAGGUAGCUAUCUCCCCUGGAUUACCUUUAGUCAAAAUCAUAAAAUAUAUUGAACUGAAAUAUUGCGAGUACUAUCUCUCACUAUCCAGAGACCAAAAUCCUGAGGUUUCUUGGUACCUUCCUCCACUCAGGUCAGGACACAGGCUCAGGAAGUUUCCUGAAGGCCCUUCCCAAAUCCAGCAUUUGUAAAUUUGUCCCCCUUUUAUUCAAGGUCUUUCUAUGUCACUGACUAGUUAACUGGGAAGAUUAAUUCCAGCUGUGAGGUGGUAAAGACAGAUAAUACUAUGCUUGUUAAAUUGCAGUCUGGACUGGGAGGGCAGCCAAAGCCACAGGACAAAUAUGGAGCAUUAGCAUUGAUUUUAAGCACUCUCCAAAUACUUCCAUAUACAUAAUCUUGAUUUUGCCCUAGAAAAAUCUUGUUAAAGACAAUGAUUUAUUUUUUUUGAAUACCUGAUUUCAAAUUGUAUUACCUUAAAUAUAAUGCAUUGAUAUUUCUCUUUGUAAUAUUCAUGUAUUGCAAGCUGAGAACCAAAAUUGUUUCAAGAAAUUGUAGGAUUAUUAUUUAGCAUAAAGUUUCUAUUAUUUUAAAAAAUCGGAGGUUGUGUAAUGGUGGUAACUAUGAAUUAUGAGAAGAAGGUUUUGUUCCAAGAAUAUCAGGAAUGACUGCUGAAUUGUAUCCUAUAUUAAGCCAACAGUC